GUUUUGUAUGGCUGACAAACAACAUUUCACUGGCGUCCAUAGAAACGUGUGCAAGAAGUGGAGCUAAACAACGGAAUAUCGACAUGUGUUAAAAAACACCUAUUUUCACCCGUAUUUCACCACCUAGAAAGAGGCGAGUCAUGAAAGAACGGACAUAUGGGUGGUACCCCUCUGCAAAAGACGUCUACACCACGAACAGAAGUAUUUACACCCCAUACCAGCAAGAAUGUCUAUACAAGUUCAAGGACACGAUGUACGACACGAAGCAGAUCGCUCCGCCAUCCCCCUUGUUGGUGGUCAGAGGUUACUCGCCAGACGCCAGUUGGAGCCCCGAGCAGUCGAGAUCACGGAGUCCGACACGUGAUCAGGUGUUUGUACUGAAGAGUCGGCGCUCCAAACACCACGUUCCCAAGUACAAACUGAUCCCGACUCUGAAAUUACCCACACCCACACAGUGCUGGGGCACCAAGCUGUCCGAGACGCCGUACACACCGGCCCUUCCGACAGACAACCCGCAAGAGAGUCACACGUCAUCCAGGACGUCUGUCAGGAUAUCAUGGCCCAUUGCACAUGCGGCAAAAUCAUAUAGGAUUACUUCGCAGGCGUCGAAUAGAUCCAGACCCGUGUCACAGGCGUCAGAUAGAUCCAGACCAACGUCACAGGCGUCAGACAGACCCAGGCCCGCGACACAUGCGUCAGACAGAUCCAGGCCCGCGACACAUGUGUCAGAUAGAUCUAGGCCCGCAUCACAGGCGUCAAACAGACCCAGGCCCGCGUCGUGUACACCCAGACGCAGUUCAGUGGCGUUUGAUACAGCCAGACCCUGUUCACAGGGGACAAACACGACAAAGCCACCAUGCACCCCCACGCCUGGUGUACACGGAUUGAAUUCAGCAAGGCCCAUUCCGCAGGCGCCGUGCUCGCCCGAGUCCGUUACUCGGGUGUUGAACUGGCCCAAGCCAACUGCGCGGGAGUUGGUCACGCCCAAACCGCAGGUCACAGCCGACAGUGCAAGAAAAGGAAGCGUGGAAGGCGGAUCGUCGAAACGAGAGCGCGUCAAGAGCGCUGUGUUACCGCGAGACAAGACGUCGCCUCCACAGCGCAAUAUCAAGUCUGCUGGCUCCUCUACCAGGAUUCCUGUCUCGGUGAGCUUGCAGGAUCCAGCAACCCCUGGAGGUGAAAUCGCAUCAUCCACGUCAACUCCACACAAAACACAGCGCUAUUCUGAGACGUGCGACCUUGAGGAUUCGCUUAGAGUCCAGACGUCUGGUGCCGUGAACGCAGACGAGAUUUCGAAUGAGGAACUGGAUUACGAUGCGGCCAGGGAGAAGUAUGGGUGGUAUGCGGAGAUACAGGGAGACCCGCUUGGUCUAAAAAAGCUUCCUCGACGUCCUGUGUACACGGUGCAGUGUGAAACGCCAGUUGUCGCCCCUGAACCUCCAAGAGUUCACAUAGAAAACAAGGAUAUGUUUUUCUACAACACCAUCCCUCGGAAUCCGGGCAGUUUCACCGUGCACACGGAGUGGUUUUCAGAGGUUCUACAGGCUAAACGGAUGGAGCUCCAGAAAAAGGAGGGAGUUAAUUACAGAUGGAGGAACUACGCGUUUGCGUACUAAACGUGAAUCCCUCUGUUUCACGUUUAGAUUAGACCGAAUGUCGGCUGAAUAGAGCUAAAGGAUACUCUGGCUAGUUGUAGAAGUGUUCAUGUUUCUGAAACUUAAGAAAUUUCUGAAACAUAGACAAUGUCCUACAAUAACUGUAAGGCAUAUUUGAAAAGUGAUAAAUCCGAAUUCUGUAGUCCUAUUACAUUAAUCUCUAACCCAUCUGAUACUUUUUAAACCGUGUGGGGUUAAAAAAAGACAACAACAACAUAAAAACAUAAAUGAAAAUCACGACUGGGAAUCCCUGUCUUAAGAAUUCAAAAGAAAUCCAAGUCCGUUCUUUCUAUAGGGUAAUACAAAAUUUAGAAAAGAAAAUACUUUAGUUUUAUGAAAUAGAAAUAAAAGAAAGAAAAUAAGAAGCAAAUAACAUUCUAGGAGACAUUAAAACAGUUUUAGUUUAUCAGCGCUCAAUACAAUGAUCGUGAACCUCAACUACAUUAUUUUAAUUAAAUCAUGGAAAUAAUUAAUGAGACGAAGUAUAAAAUAAUGUCUAUACCGACUUACUUAUUUGAGAACAUUUAAAAAGAGAGAAAUCUAUUAGCUGAAGAAUAGUCGUAUCAACACCAUAUACAAUAUUUUAUCGUCUUGGUGCAAAAAGGUGCACAGACGUUUAAUUGAUAUGAAAAUUAUUAUAUUAUGUAAAGCUCGUACUCAAUAUGUAUGAAUGGAUGAGUGAAUGAAUAAAGUAAAUUAAUAUCAGUUAAUGAAAUUGGAGCUGGGCGGUAUUGAAAUUUCAGGUUCGGUAUCGAUACGGUAUUCGGUAUUGACACAAUUCUGAUAUCGAGCGGUAUUUUCGGUAUACUCUGUUUUAAAUGCUUUCCCGAGUUAAGGCUCACCCGCUAAUUUUAUCUUUUUUUUCAAGUUCAAGGUUAUUUAUUGCCUUAAAUUUUACAACUCACCAGCAUACAUAAUAAAUACAUGUAUAUAUACAGUAUGUACAGUAUAAUGGUUAGGAGCGAUUUUCACAUACUGUGGUGAAUCAUCUAAAUAAAAUUAAAUUCCAUACCCACUUUACUAAACGGCGGGAAAUUUCGGUAUUUUGAGAUUUACUCGGUACGAUAAAUCAGCAAUGAUAUGAUACCGAUAUCGAACAGUAAAUACGGUAUACCGCCCAGCUCUAAAUGAAAUUAGCGUAAAUCUAAAACACUUUCGCAUAUAUGUGCAUACCAGAUUUCCUGCCAACUAUAUUUUUUCUUUUAAAUUGUUUAAAUAUUAUAGGUAAGUGUAAAAAUAUCAACUAUGAACUCUAAAACUGUUAUAAAUGUUCACAAGUUAAACAUUAUACCUGAAACAUUGAGAAAAUAAAUACAAACACAAAGAGAAUAAAGGUUUACCGGUGAGUGUGUGACAGAUAUUAUUUACGAAAGAACAAAAUCUGUUUGAUUUAUUAAUGAACAUUAUGUGAUUCUUUCUUUGUUUUAUAUUUAAAGUUAUUUAAAGUUAUAUAUAUAUAUAUAUAUAUAUAUAUUUUUUUUUUAUAAUUAUAUCAAGAUCUGAAUUUGUUUAAAGUGAUCAUCAAGUAUGACUGGAUAUUCUGUUUGUAGAAAUCGUUUUUUGGUGUUGCUUUUGUUAUUUUUUUAAUUAAUGUUUAUUGUUUUUAAAAAGGUUUUGUUUUAAUUAUUGUAUUUGCCAUAAAACGAUGCUGACCUGAAACAUUUUCGCAGGAAAAAUGUUUUGUGACGUCAUUGAUAAUAGCUUGCACGUUAUGGUGAUGCACGUUGUAUUUAUAUGUCAGUACACUGUUUAGAACACGAAUAAGCACCGACUGUGAUCUGUUAUGAUUUUGAUUUAUAUUUAAGAUUCAAGUACUCUAUCACUGGCACUCAGUCGAACGUAAUUCAGGAUCAUUCAAAGUAAAUAGGUUCAAGAAGGAUGUCCUGGACCCACUGUUCGAGCUGGCUGUCAGGACAGGGGUUAAUGAGUAUUGUCAGUGAGAAAGAAGUCGGCGAAGUGGUCUCACGUCUCCCCACUGGACUGAUAAAACUCAAUAUGGGUGGGAGGCAAUACUGGGAUUCGAACUCGGCAUCUUCCAGUCUUAACCAUUGAACCCACAAGAGUCGGUGGAUGCUUCGCUCUCAGAAGAUCAUGUUCAAAUUCAUUCAGCUUAGUUACCUUUGACACUCUCUCUGUUGCAGCUUCGGUGAUAUAUUAAUAGGGAUAAAAACUAAAAAUGUAAAUGUUUCAUCAGUUAUGUUAUUCAUAUAAAUUAUGAAAAAGUUACGGGAUACCCUUUGUAUUUCAUAGUUCAGAAUUCAGUCCGUGUUUAGGUUUCAGUCUUAUUAAAACUGCACCAUUGUCCAUAUUGAAAAUACACACCCGAGCACCCGAAAUGUUAAAACAACACAGACAUAUGGAUACUUCUUGUUACAAGUGUGUAUUCCUAUGUCAACGUUGUUCUCAUAUUUGGAAAUGUAUACCACAGUGUAAUUAUAAACAACUUGGACUUAGGAUAUCUAUAAAUGUGUAUCCUGGCGAAGUAUGGGUAAAAAGUCUUCACUUACGAGAAUUUAAAAUACGUCAAUCUCACGUGAUGUUUUACGUUGCCAUUUUGUUCUUUUACGUUUUGUUUCGAUUUCUUUUUUGAUGGUUACUUUUUGGAAAGUCUGUUGAAUGAUGGUGAACCUUUUUACUAUGUAUUGUAUUGAAUGUAGUUUUGUAUUUAUUCAAACAAACAAGAGUAUUGUGAUCAGCUGAGUAUUCUUGUACGUGUACAUUAUUAUUAUUAUUAUUAUUAUUAUUAUUAUUAUUAUAUAUUAUUAGAGUAUAUAUACAUUUUUAAAUAAAUGUCUUAAUUUAAUAAACACUGAAUAUUA
rnacentral:misc_RNA from 1 species